UUAGCAGCUCAUGGAGCGCCGAAAAAAUUGGGU
rnacentral:piRNA from 1 species